UACGGAGGGGGCGAGCGUUAUUCGGAAUUAUUGGGCGUAAAGGGCGCGUAGGCGGCGCGAUAAGUCAAAGGUGAAAUCCCUCGGCUCAACUGAGGAACUGCCUUUGAAACUGUCGUGCUUGAGGCCGGGAGGGGGUAGCGGAAUUCCCAGUGUAGCGGUGAAAUGCGUAGAUAUCUGGAGGAACACCGGUGGCGAAGGCGGCAUCCUGGACCGGUAUUGACGCUGAGGCGCGAAAGCUAGGGGAGCAAACGGG
rnacentral:rRNA from 1 species